UAGCACCUACGGGGGGCAGCAGUGGGGAAUCUUCCACAAUGGGCGAAAGCCUGAUGGAGCAACGCCGCGUGGGUGAAGAAGGUGUUCGGAUCGUAAAACCCUGUUGUUAGAGAAGAGAGUGCGUGAGAGUAACUGUUCACGUUUCGACGGUAUCUAACCAGAAAGCCACGGCUAACUACGUGCCAGCAGCCGCGGUAAUACGUAGGUGGCAAGCGUUGUCCGGAUUUAUUGGGCGUAAAGGGAACGCAGGCGGUCUUUUAAGCCUGAUGUGAAAGACUUCGGCUUAACCGGAGU
rnacentral:rRNA from 1 species